GACGAACGCUGGCGGCGUGCUUAACACAUGCAAGUCGAACGGAAAGGCCCUGCUUUUGUGGGGUGCUCGAGUGGCGAACGGGUGAGUAACACGUGAGUAACCUGCCCUUGACUUUGGGAUAACUUCAGGAAACUGGGGCUAAUACCGGAUAGGAGCUCCUGCUGCAUGGUGGGGGUUGGAAAGUUUCGGCGGUUGGGGAUGGACUCGCGGCUUAUCAGCUUGUUGGUGGGGUAGUGGCUUACCAAGGCUUUGACGGGUAGCCGGCCUGAGAGGGUGACCGGCCACAUUGGGACUGGGAUACGGCCCAGACUCCUACGGGAGGCAGCAGUGGGGAAUAUUGCACAAUGGGCGGAGGCCUGAUGCAGCAACGCCGCGUGCGGGAUGACGGCCUUCGGGUUGUAAACCGCUUUCGCCUGUGACGAAGCGUGAGUGACGGUAAUGGGUAAAGAAGCACCGGCUAACUACGUG
rnacentral:rRNA from 1 species